rnacentral:lncRNA from 1 species
AAGCCUUGUCCCUUAACAUUAGCAGGCUGAAGAUUUUAAUCAAGCGAGAGUUCAUUGCAUGCUGUGCCCAUUUCUACACACGCCCAACAGUCCAGCUACACGGGAGACACAUUUUCUAUGCUGGUGCUCCAUACAUGUCUGUUGGCUGACGGAUACAGAAAUGUUCCAAAUAUACUGUUUCUCUUUGAGAUUCAGUUUGCUGGUG